rnacentral:rRNA from 1 species
UACGUAGGGUGCGAGCGUUGUCCGGAAUUAUUGGGCGUAAAGGGCUCGUAGGCGGUCUGUCGCGUCGAAAGUGAAAACCCAGGGCUUAACCCUGGGCCUGCUUCCGAUACGGGCAGACUAGAGGUAUGCAGGGGAGAACGGAAUUCCGGUGUAGCGGUGAAAUGCGUAGAUAUCGGAAGGAACACCAGUGGCGAAAGCGGCUUCCUGGUCCAGCACCGACGUUCAGGCACGAAAGCGUGGGGAGCAAACAGG